CACUCCUUAUCUCCCCACGUAAUACUUCUCUCCCAUUAUCUUCAUUUUUAUUUUUUAUUUUUAUUGAAUUUUGAGUUUUUUAUCUGCAUAAUCCUUAAAUAUAAUAUGAAUAUGCAACUCUCUUACUUUCUGCUAUACCUCAUUUGAAUUUUUAGUGGGUUUCUUAAGUUUAUUUUAAUUUGUGAACUUUGUCUCCCUUCACUCUAGUGUUCUUUUUUUUAAAAAAAAAAUAGUAUGAUAAUUUAACUACGAGUUACUUGUGUUUAGCCUAUGAGUUUGUUCUGUGUUAGAGACUUUUAGGGACUUGUUAAAAAAUAUGAUCUAAUUUUUUCGACUGCUCUAUAUACUAAGUAAGUUUCUUCAUCUCGAUUGUUGAUUUUUUUUUGUUUGCAGACAAAACUCAAGGUCUAUAUCUUUAGAAAAGAGGGAAUGACAAUUUUACCAUGUAAUUUGAGUUAGUAUCUUUUCUAUUUAUUUCUCAUUCUAAUAUCAAUUUUACAAUUAAAUUUUGAAAAUAUGUCAUGUUUAUAUCAUAAUUGCAGCGAGUACAUAUUAAAAUUGUAUUCUUUUCCUUUUCACACAGGUAUGUACAUGAAUGGAAAAAUUGAAUGAAGAGUAAAGUUAUCAGAUAAGUUGUUUACAUUAGCAUAUAAGAAGUAACAUUUUUAUUUUCUUAUUGACGACACAUUAUGUACAUUCGUUAGGAUCAUAUAAUAAUCUUUAAUGAGAUUAUUUCAAUAUUAUUUUAGUUCUAAAAUAUUAUAGGAUCAUGAGUGACACUUUUUGUUAUUAUGUUAAAUUUUUUAUUUUGUUAUGUUGAGUUUAUAUUAUAAUAUGAUAUCUGCUAAGUUUAAAAAUUAAA
rnacentral:lncRNA from 1 species